UACGGAAGGCAGCAGUGGGGAAUAUUGCACAAUGGGCGCAAGCCUGAUGCAGCCAUGCCGCGUGUAUGAAGAAGGCCUUCGGGUUGUAAAGUACUUUCAGUCGUGAGGAAGGUGUUAAGGUUAAUAACCUUAGCAAUUGACGUUAGCGACAGAAGAAGCACCGGCUAACUCCGUGCCAGCAGCCGCGGUAAUACGGAGGGUGCGAGCGUUAAUCGGAAUUACUGGGCGUAAAGGGCACGCAGGCGGUUAAUUAAGUUGGAUGUGAAAUCCCCGGGCUUAACCUGGGAAUGGCAUUCAAGACUGGUUAGCUAGAGUCUUGUAGAGGGGGUAGAAUUCCAUGUGUAGCGGUGAAAUGCGUAGAGAUGUGGAGGAAUACCGGUGGCGAAGGCGGCCCCUGGACAAAGGCUGACGCUCAUGUGCGAAAGCGUGGGGAGCAAACAGGGAUUAGAU
rnacentral:rRNA from 1 species